rnacentral:rRNA from 1 species
UAAGGAAUAUUGGUCAAUGGGCGCAAGCCUGAACCAGCCAUGCCGCGUGCAGGAAGACGGCCCUACGGGUUGUAAACUGCUUUUGUACCGGAAUAAACCUCUUUAUGUAUAAGGAGCUGAAUGUACGGUAAGAAUAAGGAUCGGCUAACUCCGUGCCAGCAGCCGCGGUAAUACGGAGGAUCCAAGCGUUAUCCGGAUUUAUUGGGUUUAAAGGGUGCGUAGGUGGCCUAUUAAGUCAGGGGUGAAAGACGGUAGCUUAACUAUCGCAGUGCCUUUGAUACUGAUGGGCUUGAAUACAGUUGAAGUGGGCGGAAUGUGACAAGUAGCGGUGAAAUGCAUAGAUAUGUCACAGAACACCGAUUGCGAAGGCAGCUCACUAAAGUGUGAUUGACACUGAGGCACGAAAGCGUGGGGAUCAAACAGGAUUAGAUACCCUGGUAGUCCACGCCCUAAACGAUGAAUACUCGAUGUUGGCGAUAUACGGUCAGCGUCUAAGCGAAAGCGUUAAGUAUUCCACCUGGGGAGUACGCCCGCAAGGGUG